rnacentral:rRNA from 1 species
CCUACGGGUGGCAGCAGUAGGGAAUUUUCGGCAAUGGGGGGGACCCUGACCGAGCAACGCCGCGUGAACGAAGAAGUUAUUCGUAAUGUAAAGUUCUUUUAAUAGGGAAGUAAGAGAAAUUUCACGGUACCUGUAGAAUAAGCUUCGGGUAACUAUGUGCCAGCAGUCGCGGUAAUACGUAGGGAGCGAGCGUUAUCCGGAAUUAUUGGGCGUAAAGGUUGCGUAAAUGGAAUAGUAAGUUUUUUGUAAAAAUGCUGGGCUCAACCCAGUAGGGCAAAAGAUACUGGAAAGCUAGAGUAUGACUGAGGCAAGUGGAACUACAUGUGUAGCGGUAAAAUGCGUAAAUAUAUGUAAGAACCCCAGUGGCGAAGGCGGCUUGCUGGGUCGAUACUGACAUUGAGGCACGAAAGCGUGGGGAGCAAACAGGAUUAGAUACCCUGGUAGUC